UUACGAGCCUGUUUUGAACAAUCUUUUUCUCUUUCUCCUUCUCCUCUUAAUUUCCCCUUCGUUUUCUUCAAACUUUUACUCGUUUUUGCCUUCAAUAUUUUCUUUAUUUAGUCAUUUUCAUUAUCAUCUAUACAUACAUUUAUAUAUAUUUAUUUAUAUAUAUAUAUAUAUAUAUACAUAUAUAUAUAUAAACGUAUGCAUGUAGCUAAGUUUCUGUAUGUUGAUUUGAUAUAUAUAUGUUUUUGUCUCUUCUACUUCAACUUUUUAGUUACCUAUGUCUAUUUCUGCUAUAUUCGCCUUAUCCUCUGAAAAGAUGUGUGUAUAUAGAUAAAUCAAUAUGUACAUAGAAACAAUUAUAUAGUAUAUAUAUAUAUAUAUAUAUGCAUACCGAUGGUGGAAAGGGAGAGAAAAAUGGCGGACAUUCACACAAAUGUAUGGAGGAGGGAGUCUAUAUGAAGGCUGUGCACGUCUACACUCCGUGUGGGUGUGCCAAACGUUUAACUCUGCAUGUUGAAAAUCCUCAAACUUACUGACAAUAUAAAACAAGUUUAUUGCAUCAUUUUACCGCAUAGUUUCAACUGAGCCACAAUUCCUUACAAACUUUGUAGGAAAUGGACCAAAUAUGAUGUGAAGAGACUAUUUCUGAGAAUACAGGAUGCAUUGGUUUCAAGAAUUCUCAAUGAAAAUUUGCAUUUCAUAGAUAAACAGAAGAGAGAUUAGCAUCCGCUAUAGCAAGUGACAAACUGAAGAUAUUAGUUGAAGAGAAGCCAGACUUAAUUUUCUAAGAAACAACUUUCAGGAGUGGUAUUUUGCCAGUUCACAUCACCUGUAAUAAAGUGGAAAAGAGAAGCCUGUCCAAUAAAUUGUAUAUGGACUUCAACACAAACUUCACAUUUAAAACUGUCACUGUACAUACCCGCUUGAUAUAUCACCUAUCAUAUUCCUUAGCAUUGACAGUAACUGAACAGAUAUACUGAUAAAUUUCAAUGUAUCCAGAAAGUUUGCUGCAGGAAAAUUCGCCUCAGGAUUUUUGGCUGUAGGAGAGUUCACCACGUAGGAAAUUUUGCCGCAAGACAAUUUCACCGCAAAAAGAUGAAUUGCUCCCUUGAUACAUAAUUGUUUCAGCCAACCUAACUUUUAUUAGAGAAACCAAUAAGAGGGGGUAAAGUAAUUUCUUAACUCUUUUAAAAUUUCUUUAUUCAUGUGACAAUAUUUGUUUUGUGUAGCUAACCCAUUACAAUAGUCUAUCAAGUGGGAAUUAGCAGAGGUAGUUUGAAAUUAGUUGAUGAUCUUAACUUUGUUUAUACGAUAGAUAGAAAAUACGGUGAAAAACCUUAUUGGAAAUGUGAAAAUAGAGAAUGUAAAGCAAGAGUGCAUACCAUGCUGGAGAACAAUAAUUUAUCUAUAUGUAAGAUAUUCGGCGAGCAUUGCCAUCCUUCUCAUCCUUUAAAACCGAAAGUUUACAUAGCGAAAAUGAAAUUGAAAUCACUAGCCACUAAUUCACAAACUUCUGCAUGGUCGUUAAUUGCAGAAAUUUCAUCUAGUUUAGAUGAUAAUGCACUGUCACUGAUGCCAUCGCAUUUGUCUCGCAAUAUUAGAGGUUGGAGGCAAAAGAAAAGCCAAGCUCCCCUGAUCCCAACUGGAAGAAGUGGGUAUAUAAUACCUGAAGAAUAUAGAUUUCUUGAAAAUGGUGAGAAGUUUUUAUUAUAUGAUAGUGGUGAAGAUAAUCCGGAGAGACUGUUAGUAUUUGGUACACAAGUUGGGUUAGAUGAACUUGGGAAUAAUAAAGAUUGACCUUGUGAUGGAACUUUUAAAUGCAGCCCAGAUAUAUAUUAUCAGUUGUUCACGUUACAUAUUGUCACAUGAAAUAUUAACAUACUGCGUCUUUUUGAUUUGCUACUCGGUAAAUCACAACGUACAGAAGGCUUUCUUACACCCAUCAUUAGAGCUUGAAAUCUUAAUGGUUGAUUUCGAGAAAGCAGUUAUCAAUACUUUCUGUAAUAUAUUUCCAACAACAAAUAUAACAAGGUGUUUAUUUCAUAUGGCUAAGAAUAUCUAUCACUACAUUAUGGAGAUAAGUAUAAAACCUUGUUAUCAAACAGAUGCAGAAUUUAACAAUGCUUCCAGUGCGUGAAAUUAUUGAUGGUUUUCUUGAACUAACUGAUGAUGAUGAUUUGCUUCAAGAAUUUGUAUCCUACUUUGAAACUCACUAUAUAGGAGGAGAAUGAGGUUGAGGUGAGCGAAAACUAAGAAUGCAACCAGCUUUUCCUAUUGAAGUGUGGAAUGUCUUCGAAAGAACCCAGAAUAAUACGAUGAGAACAAACAACAGUGUAGAAGGCUUCCACGUUGCAAUGCAAAGCUCCAUCACUAACAUGCACCCAAAUUUGUGGAAACUUAUUACGUAUUUGAAAAAGGAAGAGAUGUUACUGAAAAAGAAAAAGUGUCAUUUAGAUUGAGCAGAUGCAGUCCUAAUAAAAAAAAUAUAUAUUAAUAUCAAUCAAAGAAUUUUGUAGAAAACGCUUCAUUAUAAAUAUGAAAAUGCUUCAAUAUAAAUAUGUUUACAACAAACAAAAAGAAAA
rnacentral:lncRNA from 1 species